UAACGCUUCUGUUCUUCUUAAUACCUAGCUUUAACUCCAUCAUUAAGCUUCAGCCCACCUUUGUAUCCACUCCGUCUCAUUUAUUUCCAUUGAUUAGCUGUGUCGUAACAGUUCAAGUGUCGAUCUAUAAAUAGAUGCCUUGGCUGAGUGAUGAAGAUCUGCGAUUUCGAGAAAUCUUUUUGCUAAAAAAAUCCGAGACACUCCUUCAAACAUGUCGUCUUGGUAUUUUUUGUUGUACUUAUGAUACUUUUCUCUUGAUUCUGUAGAAGUCUGAGAAUGUAUCGCAUGUUAUUUUUUAUUUUUUUUCAUUGUAAACUCUGAUCCAAGGCUCAGUGCAUAUUGCAAUUCGAUUCAUUGAGAAGGCAAAGCUCCACGAGCUCCAAUUACCUGCAGCGGGUUCAGCGAAACAGAGAAGGUUCAUCCUCAAGAAGAUAGAAACAUUGAUAAUGUCGGAACUGAAUUCUUAUGUGUUCAACUUCACACCGCAGGCAACUAUCAAGCUUUCAGAUUGAACCCACUCAAUCUAAAUGGCCGAGCAAAGAGCUUUGUCCAUUUUCAGGGGCAUAAGAUAUGAUGUCACUGGGAGACUUAAAUCCUACAAGCAUGAUUGAAUCAGUGGUUUCAGAGCUGGAUUAAGGAUUCAGGCCCCAUAUUCUUUGCACCUGCGGUUCACGUGAUUACUUAUGGAGAACAUUUGGAGAGAUAUACUGCUUGUCCAGAUGGGAAAGAUCCCAACAGUUCAAACUUUAGUGUUGAUAUUGGGUGGAAGGCAGCCAUCGUUGAUUUUGGUGUUGCAGAGCCUACUGUUACAAUUCACAUCUUUGUGUUCAAUUUUGCCAAGGACAGACAGGAAUUGAUAUCAAAGUUAAGCGUUGUCAUUACAAUCGUUGCUACAAACUCACUAAAGUAUGAGUUCCAUGCAAAUUUAAGGUUUGCUCCAUUUCUCUUUGCUUUAAGGUUUGUCUGCAUUGUGGUGAAAGCGAUGAAUAAGUGUAUGAUGUUUUCAUUUGUAUAAGUAAUCAUUGGAUGAAACCGUGAAUGUUGUGGAAGCUUCUCAAAGUAUCACUUUUAAUAUGUAUUGUUCUAUCCUCUUUAGCAAGCUAUGCUGAUAUAAUAUUUUCA